rnacentral:misc_RNA from 1 species
AUGAACACCGCCGUUCCCGUUUGUCUUGGUGCUCCCUUCCCUCCUCCUGCCCCUCUGCACGGACUCGCACCUCACACUCACGCCGGAAAGCCUCCGCACGAUUUUCCAUACGUCAUCCUCGCGCACGGAAGCGAAGGGAGAGCGCGCACGCAUAUCGCACAGGCUAGGCGCGUGAGCAGGAUUGGCUCAGGGCGCGUUCAAGUCUCGCGUGCGCAAGUCAUACAAAGAGGGGGAAUUCAUUGGCGGCAAACACAAGGCAUCCGCGAAAGAGGAGGAUCACGUCUAGCGCACCUCGUCUCCACCCUGUAGUGAGGUCGCGUGUAGGAGCCACUUGAUACAGCUCUUAGUAGGAAUAGGGAGCAGAGAAAUCCACCUAGGGGAAGAGGGAGAAGGUGCAAAACCACCAGAACAGCAACGGAAGAUCAGCCUCGAGAUGCAGGCUCGUAGGAAUAGCAUGAUGCGCCGCGUGGCGCGUCGUUACGCGCGUGUGCCUGGUGAGCACGGUGACGCGAGUGUGCCUGCCUUCUUCCCCAUCGCCAUCAAUCCCGGCUGGUGGGGACAGCCCUUUGGCAAGGUGAAGGACGGAACGAGUCAGCUCCUUUUCUUCUUUGGCAUCAUCUUCCCUGUCGCCUUCUACUGGUUAUUCGACGUCACGUUUGGCCAGCGCACGCGCAUCGCUCAAGUCGGCAAGAGGGCAAUGGCCUCAAACUUUCUUUUUAGACAGCUCGACCUCGACGACCCGGAUCACGCUAUCAAGUAUGAGCAGCUACAGCAGGAGAUGGCAGAGAACAAGCUGGACGUCCGCUGGGGUGGCACGAACUUCCUGGCUAGCUACCUUUGGCAGCCCGGCGACCCAGAACCGGACAUCCGCCGCAAGGAGGCACCCGCGCAUCAUCACCAUCACUAACACGGUCAUCAGUUGGAUGCGAGGGAGGCCGAGGCAAGUGGGCCCUCGUCACGCGCCGCGUGUUCUUAGUACGAGACGACCUCUGCGUGCACCGUAUCGAGCGCGUGCUUGUGUGCACAUAUACAUAUGCGUGUGUGUGUGUGUGCCGAGGCUCUGCUGUGCGAGCGCGUGUGCGUGGGCCGGGGGAGAGUCUCGCUUUUCGUGCGCUGGAGUCGUGAGCCUUCCACAAAGGAGAGAGGACGGGGGCGAGGUGGGGAACGCCCAGGGCGAAAGGUCUACCACACUGCGCGUGUGUCAGCUGCCAUUUCCACUGCUGCCAAAGAAAACAUGCAUGCCAGGGCCAGGCUGCACAGGCGGCAGUGCGCCAGCGGACGCCGCUGCUUCGUGACGCCGGUGACAACGCACCGGUAUGUGCUCCUCCUUCUUUGCCAGCGCGACAAUGCAAGUGGAUCGCGUGCGCUUGCGCGCCCAGCUCGCCGUCCACUGAUGUCUUUCUACACCUCACUACCACACGUGUCUUCUCCCUUGACCAGCUUGUGCGACGUCUCUCUUUUUGUUUUCGUUUUCUUCGUGCGGCUUGGUAGCCGAUCGUCUGCCGUGGGCCCUUACGUCGAGAGCCAUCGCCGUGCCGUUCUCCGUUCACUGGGCUGCACCGCCGUCGAAACGAAUACGACCAAGCGAAAAGCAAAAAAAAACGUUCAAGCGACGACCCCAACAAAAAGAGCAAACAACGCGCUGCGAGAGCCACCCGUUGUGCGGUGCUCUCGGCCUUACGCACCUACGCUUCGUCCAUCUGGGGCUGCGUAUUGCGCAUGCACACGCUCUCACACUAGGAAUAAAGGCACUGCAUAAUUCCGCUUAGCCAACACGGAG